AAUCUCCCCGUGUACCAGAGCCCUUACAAUGAACAUGAUCAUUUCUGAAAUAAAGAUUCUAGGGAUUAAAGCAAAAAUCAAUUUAUAUUCACCAUGACUAAUAUGGACUAGAAUAAGAGGCUUUUUGUUUGCCUUUGUCACUAAAAUGUGUUUGGUAAAAAUUGUGGUAACAAUAUGCUAUGUGUUAUUUAAGCUAAAGAAAAAUAUAAUUUGCAUUUGUCGUUAUUAGGACACUGAUGCAGAAGGGACAUGUUGCAGGAAAAUCCUUUUAAAUAGGACAUGGCUCUCUCAUUAUUGUUUGAAUAACCUCCAUAGCAUUCAAUGUCAAUCAUUUUGUAACAUUCUGGCAAGAGUAAUUGUGCUUACAAGUUGUGGAAUUGUAACUAAAGAAACACUUUAAAGACAUACAUUACCACUGACUGUUUACAAGCCACAUGACAAUCCUUUUUUACUUUUAAUCUCUGUAUCAACUGUAAUUCAUAUUAUAGCAGGCUUGGCUGAGAGCUGCACACUGCUAGCCACAGAAGGAAAGGGAAAGUAUUCAGUGGGUCUGAUCUCCAGGGAAUGCUUAAAGGGGAACUGUCCUAGCAUGCCCCAGAGGGAAAGUUUAUUAACUAUUUUUCGCUAAUAGGUGUUUUUAUCAUAUUAACAAGCAUUAUAAAGUGCUAACAUUUUCUGCAGUGCUGUACCACAGAAUUGCUGAAUUGACUGGAAAAAGUUUGUUGGACCAGAUCUGAUUCACAGCAUUAGAGAGUGUCUGGCAGAAGUAAAAAGGUUGCACCACUGUGAUGGUGUAGGGUUGCCACCUGGUCCUUGAUGCCAAUUGCAAUUAAUGAAAGAAAUGAUAACAGAGAUAGCUACAGCAUCUAAUCUCUGUAAUUAAGAAACAUAGAAAGCAGAUAGGAUGGUCAUGGCAGGCCAACAAAGAAGAACUGCCUCUUGUUCAUAAAUCUCCCAUGAAGUGUACAGCGGAGCCCUGCGGCAGGCGAUGAAGGAUCGAUUGUACUCUGCUGGAACUGCAAGUUUGAGAUCAUAAGGAAGGCAAAAUCUGCAGAGGCAGCAGAAGAGAUUACAUCAUUAUGCUGACUCUGGAGUCUGAGGACAGACUGAAGCCAAUGGACAGAGCUCACAGCUAGAGAGUUUGCCAAUAUAAAGCUUUCAAUGGUUCAAUGGUUGCUCAAUUCACUGCCUCAGAUAUCUCACUAAAUAGCUGGAGUUGGAAAAUUCGUUCACCAUGAAACUCGUGCCAAGUUUUUUUAAUGUUGAAGCCUUUCUUUUAGUAGGAAAGCAAUACUUUAACAGCUAAAUGUGUUCAUUUCAAUAUGCAUGCUUAAACUGAUGUGACUGAUAUAUAAUCACACUAUAACUACACAAAUGUGUUGUGAGCAACAAGUCCCUCAAGUGUUGCUCUUAUCUAAUCUAUUGUAUAUCAUUGGAAAGUAGUUCUCAGUGUGUAUGAAGAGAACUUGGACAAUAUGUGGAAUGCAUGGAUUAUUUCCAAAUUGUUUAUGAUUAUUAGUCCAUUCCAGCUUUGGUCUCUUGUAAGGAGGUGUUACAAGGGCAUGUAGUGAACCCUGAGUCUGCGUAAGGAUUCUUUGACAAACAAAGAAAGUCCAUACACUCACGGUUCCUUGUAAACUCAGUCCAUUAUCCACUGGUGCAGAUCCUCCUGAUGCACCUG